rnacentral:rRNA from 2 species
GGCGGCGUGCCUUCACAUGCAGUCGAGCGCGUACGGAUCGGGAGGCUUGGUCCCUGAAGUCUGCGGGGGACGGGUGAGUAUCACGUGGGCAUCCUGCCUGUUUGACUGGGAUAACUCCGGGAAACCGGGGCUAAUACCGGAUAACUCUUUUCCUCCCAUGAGGAAAAGCUGAAAGAUGGUUUCGGCUAUCACUUACAGAUGGGCCCGCGGCGCAUUAGCUAGUUGGUGAGGUAACGGCUCACCAAGGCCACGAUGCGUAGCCGACCUGAGAGGGUGAUCGGCCACACUGGGACUGAGACACGGCCCAGACUCCUACGGGAGGCAGCAGUAGGGAAUCUUCCGCAAUGGACGAAAGUCUGACGGAGCAACGCCGCGUGAGUGAUGAAGGUUUUCGGAUCGUAAAACUCUGUUGUCAGGGAAGAACAAGUACCGGAGUAACUGCCGGUACCUUGACGGUACCUGACCAGAAAGCCACGGCUAACUACGUGCCAGCAGCCGCGGUAAUACGUAGUGGCAAGCGUUGUCCGGAAUUAUUGGGCGUAAGCGCGCGCAGGCGGUUCCUUAUCU